rnacentral:rRNA from 1 species
AAAUUGAAGAGUUUGAUCAUGGCUCAGAUUGAACGCUGGCGGCAGGCCUAACACAUGCAAGUCGAACGGUAGCACAGAGAGCUUGCUCUCGGGUGACGAGUGGCGGACGGGUGAGUAAUGUCUGGGAAACUGCCUGAUGGAGGGGGAUAACUACUGGAAACGGUGGCUAAUACCGCAUAACGUCGCAAGACCAAAGAGGGGGACCUUCGGGCCUCUUGCCAUCAGAUGUGCCCAGAUGGGAUUAGCUGGUUGGUGAGGUAACGGCUCACCAAGGCGACGAUCCCUAGCUGGUCUGAGAGGAUGACCAGCCACACUGGAACUGAGACACGGUCCAGACUCCUACGGGAGGCAGCA